rnacentral:lncRNA from 1 species
UUGAGUCCAGUUAUAUAUUGGAGAGUAGGAUUCUUUUUGCUCCUCUUCUAUGCUCUGGUGAAUAAUCCUGAUGAAAGAAUUUUAAUUCUAACCCCUCUUCCCACUCAAAGAAAAUUUAGGAUCACGCUGGUAUUUUGGAGCCUCUCUGAUGUCGAUGUGGCAGAGUUCUAACUUGGUGCCUCAUGUUAUCGAGGAGUAGAACUCCAAGGGGUUUUUGACACAUUGCUAUCGUUCACCUUCCUUAGUAUCUCAGGACGCGAACAUCGAAACGCUUCAAUACUUUGCUUGGGGGGAAAUAGUGUCGUGACUUUUCUCGAGUACUCGUGGAGAUAGGUCGGAUGAUCUAUCAGGUCUAGUAUGAUUGUUUUUCAAAGGUUUGAGGUAGAUGAGUUUGCGUAACUUCUCACAUAUGUUUUGAUAGUUGCGGGAAAGGUCAUGCAGCUGAUUACAUUGAGUAGGUUCUCAGACUCGCAACCUGAUAGCAUAACCAAGAAAGAUUUCAGAAGUUCUCAAGUGGGAAUUCAAGUAGUUAGCUAGGAUUAUCUUACAACAGAUUCGUGAUGUGAGGUUGGGGUUCGACAUCUAGUGGACUCAUUUGUUCACGGUCUUUCCUACAAAGGAAAGUCUCAAUAUGUGUCAUCAGAUAUGCUUCGUCAAGCCUUGUAGUUUGUUGCGCCUAGGGAGCAUAUUCGAGCGUCAUUUCAAUAUCACAAUCCAAUGUACAAUCGAGCCCGUGCAAGCCUUACCACGAAAAUAUCGAGCAAAAUCUCUGUCAUAUAUUUGUUUCUGGCUUAAUUUGCAAGCCUCAUCCUUUGUUUUGCUGGAGUAUGGUAAUUUGAGUUGCUUCGGUGUCAUGUGGUGAUUCCAUAUCUUUUGC